rnacentral:rRNA from 1 species
AUUGAACGCUGGCGGAAUGCUUUACACAUGCAAGUCGAACGGCAGCACGGGGGCAACCCUGGUGGCGAGUGGCGAACGGGUGAGUAAUACAUCGGAACGUGCCCAGUCGUGGGGGAUAACGUAGCGAAAGCUACGCUAAUACCGCAUACGAUCUACGGAUGAAAGCGGGGGAUCGCAAGACCUCGCGCGAUUGGAGCGGCCGAUGGCAGAUUAGGUAGGUGGUGGGGUAAAGGCUCACCAAGCCGACGAUCUGUAGCUGGUCUGAGAGGACGACCAGCCACACGGGGACGGAGACACGGCCCAGACUCCUACGGGAGGCAGCAGUGGGGAAUUUUGGACAAUGGGCGCAAGCCUGAUCCAGCCAUUCCGCGUGCAGGAUGAAGGCCUUCGGGUUGUAAACUGCUUUUGUACGGAACGAAACGGCUCUCUCUAAUACAGGGGGCUAAUGACGGUACCGUAAGAAUAAGCACCGGCUAACUACGUGCCAGCCGCCGCCGUAAAAC